ACCACCCAACGCUAAUUCUUGGUCUACUCUUUGUCAACGAACAGUGAAAUUGAUCGUCACGGUGCAACACACUAAUGGUUGAAAUGUGCAUUCUACUGCUGUAAAUGAAGUCCUCAGGUUAAAGAGGAAUACCAUAUCUUUCAGUAAAUCUAAUGAUGACCAUGAAGAAGAAGAAGAAGAAACUUAGUUUUAUGUAAUAGAAUACAUUAGUACACCACUGAAGAUCAAUACUUAACAUCAAGUAGCUUCAAAAACAAGGUCUUGAACUAGUUUUUACAAUUAGAACAUUUUUGCACAAAUUCAUAACAUUUUAUAUAGCUUAACUACAGAAGUGAAGAACACUUGCAUUCUAAAACAUAUACAGUCAAAUGGAGUUCAUUGUAUCUAUACAGAAUAUUUUAACACAACUAUUUAUUAUAAUAUUUUGCUUCCAGGUCAAACUUUUUUUUUUACUCUAUUGUACUAGUGUUUCAAUCCCACUCCUAAUAUAUUAGUAUCUACUAGUGUCACAAAGAUAUUUGUAAAAUCUAUGUAAUUUAUUUCAGAGGAAUUUUAAUUUGAAAUGUAAUUAACACAAUGAUCUUAAAGAAGUCUUUAAACCUGAAAUUAAGUUACUUCAAAUAAAAAUAAUGUUUUGCAUAAACCAAAAAUUAUUUUCGAGUAUUUGUGUAGUAAAGUUAUUUUUUUUUUUGGAACAACCAAGACACUUGUGAACAAGUGUCAUUCAUAGCACCCUGUUAACCCAUAGAACAUAUACGUAUCCAAUGCCACAACAAGUCAUCACAAUUACCCUAAUCCAUAUUUAUGUUUCAUUAAGAAUUAAAAACCACUUACUUUUAUUUGUAAAAACAUCACUAGAAAAAACCAACACACCCUCUGUAACAUAUUGACAAGCAGUCUAAUUUUUCAUUGAUUAAAAGGCACCUCAACAUUAAACUAAUGUUUUUAAUAUGGCUAAAACUGGAAUAAAAGUAAUAAGCAUAUUUAAGAAUGAUUUACCCAGAAUCAUAAAAAUUUGAAAAAUCUAAAUACCAAAUGAAUACUUUGAAGUUAGAGGAACAAAUUUUAUUAUUACUAUACACAAGGGUAUACACAGGUUUAUUUGUUUCAAAAAUUCAUACAAACUACACAAGGCGUAUCUGCACUAGCCAUCCCAAAUUUUGAAAUGACAGACUAGAGGGAAGGCUGCUAGUCAAUAGCAUCCACUGUAAAAUCUUAGGUCACUCUAAUAAAAUAAUGGAAUUUAACUAACUUUUAUAAUAGAUCCAAUGUCCAAAGUGUUGAGUGCAUUUUUAUGGCAAAUGACUCCAAGAUUCACAAUCUUGCACACUAACCACUGGGCCAAACUCAGACGGUAUACAUGAUAAACAUGUUUCGUAAGUAAACUAUAUCAUUUUUAGAAUAACAUUUUCUUCUUUAAUAAGGAAAAAUGUAAGAAGUAGUAACAAACAGAAAAACACACAUACACACUUAGUUCUUAAUUAAUGAUAUGUAAUCCAAAAGCAAGUAUAUUGAGUACAUUAGACAGCUACGU